rnacentral:rRNA from 1 species
AUCCUGGCUCAGGAUGAACGCUAGCUACAGGCUUAACACAUGCAAGUCGAGGGGCAGCAUGAGAUUAGCUUGCUAAUCUUGAUGGCGACCGGCGCACGGGUGAGUAACGCGUAUCCAACCUUCCCUAUAGUAGAGGAUAGCCCGGCGAAAGUCGGAUUAAUACUCUAUGUUUUCCAAUGCAGACAUCUAAAAUGGAACAAAGGCUUGCCGCUAUAGGAUGGGGAUGCGUCUGAUUAGGUUGUUGGCGGGGUAACGGCCCACCAAGCCUUCGAUCAGUAGGGGUUCUGAGAGGAAGGUCCCCCACAUUGGAACUGAGACACGGUCCAAACUCCUACGGGAGGCAGCAGUGAGGAAUAUUGGUCAAUGGGCGAGAGCCUGAACCAGCCAAGUAGCGUGCAGGAUGACGGCCCUAUGGGUUGUAAACUGCUUUUAUGCGGGGAUAAAGUGGCGUACGUGUACGUUUUGUAGGUACCGCAUGAAUAAGGACCGGCUAAUUCCGUGCC